GACUGAGCAAAAAGAAGGAUGGGAAAAUGAACAGAAAUUUACAAGAACUGAUGCAGAGUGGAAAAGAAACAAAAAAAGACAAAGCUUCAUUAAAAGGAGGAAAAAUAGACUUCUACAUCCCUUUUCCCUAAUCAAAGUGCCUGGUGCCAAAGUUAAAUGUCUCCCACUGAACCCUCACUUUCCCACUGAUGGGAAUGAUGGCAGCAGUUUUUCAAGUCAUCAAGGCCUGACCCUGUACCAGAGCUGGGUCCCCCAUACCUGUUCUGAUAGUUUCCUGGACAGGGAAAAGCUGGGGACAGAGAGGAAUUGGCAGCUGGGAGUGCUGGUUGUGACCUGGCAGAGAGAGAGGCC